rnacentral:rRNA from 1 species
ACUGUAGCCUGAUAUUGAAAUUCGGCACAGCUUGUACAGGAUAGGUAGGAGCCUUUGAAACGUGAGCGCUAGCUUACGUGGAGGCGCUGGUGGGAUACUACCCUAGCUGUGUUGGCUUUCUAACCCGCACCACUUAUCGUGGUGGGAGACAGUGUCAGGCGGGCAGUUUGACUGGGGCGGUCGCCUCCUAAAAGGUAACGGAGGCGCUCAAAGGUUCCCUCAGAAUGGUUGGAAAUCAUUCAUAGAGUGUAAAGGCAUAAGGGAGCUUGACUGCGAGACCUACAAGUCGAGCAGGGUCGAAAGACGGACUUAGUGAUCCGGUGGUUCCGCAUGGAAGGGCCAUCGCUCAACGGAUAAAAGCUACCCCGGGGAUAACAGGCUUAUCUCCCCCAAGAGUUCACAUCGACGGGGAGGUUUGGCACCUCGAUGUCGGCUCAUCGCAUCCUGGGGCUGUAGUCGGUCCCAAGGGUUGGGCUGUUCG